ACAGCGAAACACCGGUUCCCGUAUGAUCACCGAAGUUAAGCAACAUCGAUUUUGGUCAAUAUCUAGUUGGGUGACCGCUUGGGAAUACCAGCUGCU